GAUCCAGACUUUGAUCCUGGCUCAGGAUGAACGCUGGCGGCGUGCUUAACACAUGCAAGUCGAACGAAGCGAGAGGAGCUUGCUCCUUAAGCUUAGUGGCGGACGGGUGAGUAACGUGUGGGCAACCUGCCUUUUACAGGGGAAUAAUCACUGGAAACGGUGACUAAUACCGCAUACGAUCUUCGGAAGGCAUCUUCUGGAGAGGAAAGGAGCAAUCCGGUAAAAGAUGGGCCCGCAUCUGAUUAGCUAGUUGGUGAGAUAAUAGCCCACCAAGGCAACGAUCAGUGGCCGACCUGAGAGGGUGAUCGGCCACAUUGGGACUGAGACACGGCCCAAACUCCUACGGGAGGCAGCAGUGGGGAAUAUUGCACAAUGGGGGAAACCCUGAUGCAGCAACGCCGCGUGAAGGAAGAAGGUUUUCGGAUCGUAAACUUCUAUCAAUAGGGACGAAUAAAUGACGGUACCUAAAUAAGAGGCCCCGGCUAACUACGUGCCAGCAGCCGCGGUAAUACGUAGGGGGCAAGCGUUAUCCGGAAUUACUGGGUGUAAAGGGAGCGUAGGCGGCAUGGUAAGUAAGAUGUGAAAGCCCGAGGCUUAACCUCGAGGAUUGCAUUUUAAACUAUCAAGCUAGAGUACAGGAGAGGAAAGCGGAAUUCCUAGUGUAGCGGUGAAAUGCGUAGAUAUUAGGAAGAACACCAGUGGCGAAGGCGGCUUUCUGGACUGAAACUGACGCUGAGGCUCGAAAGCGUGGGGAGCGAACAGGAUUAGAUACCCUGGUAGUCCACGCCGUAAACGAUGAGUGCUAGGUGUCGGGGAGGAAUCCUCGGUGCCGCAGUUAACACAAUAAGCACUCCACCUGGGGAGUACGACCGCAAGGUUGCAAC
rnacentral:rRNA from 2 species